rnacentral:tRNA from 1 species
AGCAGGUUAGCUCAGUUGGUUUGUGUGUGGUGCUAAUAAUACCAAGGUAGCAGGUUGAUCCCUGUACAGGCUA